rnacentral:rRNA from 1 species
AAUGAACGCUGGCGGCAUGCCUAACACAUGCAAGUCGAACGAAGGCUUCGGCCUUAGUGGCGCAUGGGUGCGUAACGCGUGGGAAUCUGCCCUUGGGUUCGGAAUAACAGUUAGAUAUGACUGCUAAUACCGGAUGAUGUCGUAAGACCAAAGAUUUAUCGCCCAAGGAUGAGCCCGCGUAGGAUUAGCUAGUUGGUGGGGUAAAGGCCUACCAAGGCGACGAUCCUUAGCUGGUCUGAGAGGAUGAUCAGCCACACUGGGACUGAGACACGGCCCAGACUCCUACGGGAGGCAGCAGUGGGGAAUAUUGGACAAUGGGCGAAAGCCUGAUCCAGCAAUGCCGCGUGAGUGAUGAAGGCCUUAGGGUUGUAAAGCUCUUUUACCCGGGAUGAUAAUGACAGUACCGGGAGAAUAAGCUCCGGCUAACUUCGUG